rnacentral:rRNA from 1 species
AGCGAACGCUGGCGGCAGGCCUAACACAUGCAAGUCGAACGAACCUUUCGGGGUUAGUGGCGGACGGGUGAGUAACACGUGGGAACGUGCCUUUAGGUUCGGAAUAAUUCAGGGAAACUUGUGCUAAUACCGAAUGUGCCCUUCGGGGGAAAGAUUUAUCGCCUUUAGAGCGGCCCGCGUCUGAUUAGCUAGUUGGUUGAGGUAAUGGCUCACCAAGGCGACGAUCAGUAGCUGGUCUGAGAGGAUGAUCAGCCACAUUGGGACUGAGACACGGCCCAAACUCCUACGGGAGGCAGCAGUGGGGAAUCUUGCGCAAUGGGCGAAAGCCUGACGCAGCCAUGCCGCGUGAAUGAUGAAGGUCUUAGGAUUGUAAAAUUCUUUCACCGGGGACGAUAAUGACGGUACCCGGAGAAGAAGCCCCGGCUAACUUCGUG